ACGGACUCAAAUUUGAAAUCUAGUACCUCCGGUGCUCGAGUUGUAAUUUGAAGAUAGUUUUCUCGGUACUGGCCCUUGUCUAUGUUCCUUGGAACAGGACGUCAUAGAGGGUGAGAAUCCCGUCUGAUGGGGUGUCCAGUGCUUUGUAGAUUUCUAUCGAAGAGUCGAGUUGUUUGGGAAUGCAGCUCUAAGUGGGUGGUAAAUUCCAUCUAAAGCUAAAUACUGGCGAGAGACCGAUAGCGAACAAGUACAGUGAUGGAAAGAUGAAAAGAACUUUGAAAAGAGAGUGAAAAAGUACGUGAAAUUGUUGAAAGGGAAGGGUAUUGGAUCAGACUUGGUGUUUUGUGAUUAUCUUCCCUUCUUGGGUUGUGCACUCGCAUUUCACUGGGCCAGCAUCGGUUCGGAUGGCAAGAUAAUGGCUUGGGAACGUGGCACUCUUCGGAGUGUGUUAUAUCCCUUGUUGAUGUUGCCUAUCUGGACCGAGGACUGCGGCUUCUGCCUAGGAUGCUGGCGUAAUUGAUUAAUACC
rnacentral:rRNA from 1 species